CAAAAACAAUGGAAGAUCUGUCGGCAAGCUUCAUUGAUCUUGACCUCCUCAUUUUUUUCUUCAGCUCUCUUCCUGCCUCGUUGCUAAUAUUUUCUUUCUGGUAACAUGAUGAGGAUGACGACGAUGACGAUGACGAUUUGCUGCUCAUACAUGAACUUUCAGAUGAGAAGGAAUAAUCAGAGUCAAAUUCAGCUCCAAGCUUGGAGGAUUUGCAAGGUGCCACCAUGAAAACAAGUUGGUACAAGGGAAGAAAUGAGAUCACUAGAAGUUAUCAUGGAUUCCAAAGCUAUGCUAUGGCUGUGUCUGGUUGUUUUUUACUUAUUGACUUCAUUUUUUAAAAUUUCAACUUUCAAGAAGGAUGUCAUCUUGGAAUGAGAUUUGCAGAGGCGCUUUGACUUGUAUUAGCUAUUGACUUGGCUUUAAUGGAAUUGACGGGUUCUUCCUUUUGA